CAGCACGUCCGGCGGGCGAUCCGGAGGCGGGGACGCCGGAUCUGGGCCGGGGCUGCCCGGAUCCGCCCAUUCCCGAUGAUCUCGAGGCGCAACGGCAAUCUUCUCGGCGACUCACCUCCAUGGAUCGGGCAUCCCUGGGAGCUUCUCUGCAGAGAAAAGAAGGGGAAGGGAUGAGAUUAGCGAGCGAAGAAAGAGAGAUGGCCUGGACCAGUUGAGCUGCUCGCGAAUGCAUGCGGUGGAGCUGCUCGUUCCACAUGAUGCCGC
rnacentral:lncRNA from 1 species